UUGUUUUAGUGGAAGGAGAGUAUCAAAUGUCAAAGACACUUGAAUCCGUUCAUGGAGGGAAGAGGAAUAGUUACCAAGACAUUGAAGAUCCCAAUCAAACUAUGAUUCAGUUAACCAUCAACAGCAGGACACACUGAGGAUCUGGGUGAUCUACGCCAUGAUCUUUAAGAUUCAACCACAGAAGGUAACAGAAAUAAGCAAAGCUGUGAUGAGGAUGAUGGGGUUGGACCAAGUGGAGAAGGCUAUUCUAUUGAUGAACCCCAUCCAAAGACUACCUGGAUGCAUGGCUAAUUCUAAAGAAUUUGGUAUAAGGAAUGUUUCAACUUCUUUGCCUGUUUGAAUAAUACAAAUUUCUCUUCUUGGCUUGUUGGGGCACUUUUAUAUAAUGGAAGGAGGAGACCCAAGAAACUUGAAGCCUAUCAUGGUGGUAAGAGGGAUAGUUAUGAGAGAGAUGUUGAAGAAUUAGCCAAGGAGGGUCAUUCCUCUCACACCCACCUUGGUAUUGUCUCAAGUGGGCAAGAAUUAAUCAAGGAGGGUUACUUUUUGCUGUAUGUGUGUGUGUAUAUAUGUGUGUUUCUUUGUUUAUUUGGUUUUAUAGAGUUUAAGCCGUGGCAUCAGUGUAGAGAAAUUAAAGAUUAUUUGGUCCCAUGCUUUUGUGCUAUUUUGUAGUCUCCCAUUUUCUUAGUGAAAUAUUCUGUUAGACACUGUCCGUGGAUGUAGGCUUAAAGCUGAACCACGUAAAUCUUUGUGUUUCAUGUGUGAUUGUGUUUUCUAUUUCUAUUUUGCAAAACAUGCUAUUAUUUUAUUACACAACAAAUAAGUAUAAAAUAACCUACUAUUUGUUUGUUACACACAACUAAUAAGCAUAAAGCUUCCACUAACUCAACAGUUUGUGAUUAGAGCAAUGUAUGCUUAUGAAAUGCAGUUGUAUUGUUGUAACAAUUGAGUGCACUGCUGGGCUUGUAAAGUGCGGUUGCAAAUGUAGCUGUUUGCACUUUGGUAGCAGAGAGGGCUUGUUUGAGUGUUGUAUUUGUUGGGCUGUUAUUUGUAUCCAGCUUUGUUUGAAGUUUUUUCUUCUAGUGUUUUGAUAAAUAAAAAUGAAUUAUUCAUUAAAAAAAUGUUUUCCUUGAGGUUUGUUGUAUUAAUAUAAUUCUCUUGGGCUGUUGGUCGAUUCAUGCUUCUCUGCUAGAGCAAACAAAAUACCCAAGAACCUUUAGUAAUAUGUUACUAAAUUUUUUAUCGUCUUGAAGUUUUGACAGCAACAGAAGAAAUGAAACCACUUUAUAGUAUCAGUAUCUUCAAGAGCAAUGAGUAACUUGAUCAUCCUAGGGUGAUCCAUGAUAUUUGUAAACGCAGCCAACCACCUUCCUAACAAGCUCUAUUGCUGCAUUUCACACAGCCUCAUCAAUUACUCGACUGUGCUCUUAGCAUAUUCCUAUUCCUCUUCCUCUUCUACUCUCCUUUCUUCUUUCUCUAAUGUCUUUCUAGCCAGAAAUGGACUCAAAUUUUGUCAUCAUUUGCUUCGAACUUAUUAUAGGCAUCAACCAGACCUUGGGGCAAUUGAUCUUUAAUGCAUCAUAAAUAGAGAAAAUUGCCUGCUGUAAGAAGCUGUUGCCAUUCCCAAUAAUUCAUUUUAAAAUUUGUAAGGACUUAUUAGUUUUGAAUUAGUUGGAUUAGUCAAACUAGGUUAAUGGAUAUACGCUGGGGAUAUUGGGAAUACAUGUUCAUUUGAAGUUAAUGGAUAUCAAAUGAAAUAUACACAUUUAUGUAGGGAAAAUUAUGGUAAAAUUGAAUCGCAUCAACUUGGUUUGCAAUAUUUGUCCCAUUACAAGUUGUCCAAUGGCUUUGAUUCCGAUUGGAAAGAAGUAUGGAGUCAAAGUGAUGCAAACGGAAUCUGUCAAAUUGUGAUUGAAAUAUCUUUCCAGAACUUGAAGGUGAAGAAAAUUGGGGUUCAUUUGGUAUUCGAGCAAGUUGAAGAUCUUGAUCAAAUUAUAUCACCGUGGAGAGACAAUAGUUAAUCUAGUGAAAGUGACUUGGAAGGCUAAACUUUUUCUCUUCAUCGCCUGUGCUUUGGCGCGCUUCUAUUUAAUUAAUGGAAGGACAGGAUCAAAUGUCCAAGAGGCUUGAAGCCUACUACAACGGUAAGAGGGAUAGUUACCAGAGCCAUAUUGAAGAAUUAGCCAUGGAAGGUCCCUCUCACGCCCACCUGGGCUCUUGCUAAAGUGAUACAAAUUCUUCCCGCAAUCUCUUUACUUGAAGCAAGGUUAUCAUACAAUGCCUCAUUUGCUUGGAGAAGUAUAACGGAUGCUAGAAAGGUUGCACGGUUGAGCAGCACUAUUGUUGGAAGAUAUAAAUGGAAGACAGGUUAACAUCUGUGAAGAUAGGUGGCUGCCAUCACCAAGCACAUUUAAAGUGGUUUCUCCAACAAAUCCUCAAUCUGGAGAAAACUAUGUGUGUUACUUGCUGGAUGAUGAUACAAAGACUUGUAGAUUUUUCGGUAUAGAGUGCGUAUAAUUUGUUGGAAUACGAGGCUAGGUCAGGUUUAGGAGAGGCUUCAAACAAUCACAGCUCAAUAAUUAUGUGGCAGGCACUGUGGAAAGUUUUUCACGGCAUGCUCUUCAGGAUGUCAUAGCAACAAAGACUUGAGUAUUUUCCAAAAGGCUUUAUCUCUUCAGUAACUUGUGAGCAGUGUGAUGAAGUUCCUGAAACCAGUUUACAUGCUUUUUGGUCUUGCCCACACGCCAAGAAGGUAUGGCAAUUAAUUGAAGGCAUAAACAUUAUCCCACAGCAGCCUCAUCAGAAAUCGACUGAUCUAUUCUCCUGGAUGCUGCACCACAAAAUACUAUCUCACUGAAACUAUCUCUCAUUCAGUCAUGGCAAUCAUGGCUACACAUAUAUGGAAAAAGAUUUGAGGAACCAGGAAUACAGCAACCACUUUAGUAUAUAGAGGCAAGGAGAUGCAUGAAUGCUACUUGGCUGCAAAAGUUUCAUCUAAGCUACUGCAGAAAGUACACAUCCCAAUAUGGAAGUCCCUUCAGUUACCUUACUUCAAGCUAAGGUUGAGGUGAUUGUGAGCCAAUGCUGGCUGGAGGCUCAAUUUACAGGAUUCUGGCAUGCCCUACAAUUGUGUAACCAGCAGGGACUUCAGGAGGCUCAACUUGAGGGCCACUUUUGGUACUGCCAUUGCUGCUUUUAACAUGGAUUCCCCCUAAAAAGUGACCAGAAAUUCUCUGUUCAACGAAGUGAAAACUAGCUAUAUCUAAUUUCAGAUGCUGAGUUUAAAUUGGUGGACAAAAGCUGUAAUAAUACUGCUCUAGUUUUAGCAGAUCUUGUGUGUAAAUAUUGUGUUGCUGAGAUUUGGCUGGGUGUCCCCCAACCUCUUAUCACCCAUUGUAUAGACUUGAUAAUUUUUGUGACAUGCAAUAUAUAUCCUGCUGCUGUUAAUAGAAAAAAAAGAAAAAAAAAAGAUGUAUACAUAUUGAUAUGUCUUUCCUA